AACUUUUCCCACCUCUCUCUUACAGAUGUGAAAGAUUGAGGAAGCUACAAUUCUUUUGCUUUGUAAUGCAGUUACUCAGGAAAAGACUAAUUCAGUGGCGGUGUUAUUACAGCAGGUCCUCAGGUCUCUAAACACAGCCAGCAGCUAUUAGCCAGGCGUCAGCUACUGGACGUGAUUUCCCACUGCCCAGCUGUGUGAUUAUCAAGGUAACUAACACAAAACCAUGUGACGAGGCAGAGCGGCUGCGGGCCACUGGAGCGCAGAGUCUUGGAGGCAGCUUGUAAGCAGAGAAGAACUGGAAAGCACAACACAUCGUUCUCUUCUGCCUCUUUCCAAGUGAAAGCAGAGCUAAGAAAAACAAGCCAUUUUACUCUAGCACGGCUGCAACAAUGCCAAAUGUCCAACGAAGACCUGAGCGCAGAGGCCAAAAGUUGGUGCAUGCAGAGACGGGGACUUCAGUGCUGCAGACUUUGUGUGAGCUCUCUGCCAUGGGGAAGAACAUCAGCAGGGAGUUACUCCAUCUCCCAGCCUCAGUUUCCCCACCUGAGGAAGGAAGAUAAGAGGUAACACAUGCAGAUUUAACAUUUAAACAGAAACCAUGAGCUGAGGAGAGAAAGGAGGAAUAUUAACAGAUGUGCCGAAUGAAUCACUAACAGAGCCGGAGAAAGGGAGGUGCUAGGAGGUCCAUUUCCCUUUGGAGGUCACAUAAAGAGUGCAACGUGUUCAGACCACGGGUCUGCAUGCUUUAAGUGCAAGCUUUGUACUAGACAAGCAUGGUAUAUCGUUGACGGAUGGGGUCUAUCCUUGUAAUGUGCCCACUGAGACGUAGGUGGCUACCGUCGCUGUCUGAAGUAGAAUUCCUUCCAGCUAGACUGGCCAACCCGUGUUCCUCCAUCGCACCAGGCUGUACAGGUGCAAGUCAGCCUGACUCUCUACUCAAGCGUUUGACUCCAGAAGUUUCCAGUUCAAUCCCUGGCAUCUUUCACAACACUGGCCGGUACCGAUGUGUGCGACUGGGCA